rnacentral:lncRNA from 1 species
UUUGACCUUUUGGGGUAAAACCUUGUAAAACUUAUUUUCAUGCAUUGGGGUUGAUUCAUUUAGCAUUUAUUAAUGUGAUUAAGUAACUUAUGAGUAGAUUCAAACGGAUUGUUGGUGGAAUCAAGAGGUAAAGUUAUAGUUGAGACUUGAGUGGUGUUCAAGGCAUCGAGGUAAGUGUUUGGUCUAACCUUAGCUUGAGGUAUUAGGAGUCGAUCCUUAUGUGCUAAUUGCUCUUUGUUGACUACGACGUAUAGGCAUGGUGACGAGUAUCUAUACGUUGGUGUCAAACAUAACCGGGAGUCCUAAAUUAGAAGUUGUUGUAUUCUUAAAUGACAUCACGCAUGCCUUAACUAAUAAUCUACCGUUUCGAGCAAAGAUUUGUUUAUCCUCAUAUACCCUAUUUAUGAUUAAGC